GAUGAACGCUGGCGGCGUGCCUAAUACAUGCAAGUCGAGCGAACGGACGAGAAGCUUGCUUCUCUGAUGUUAGCGGCGGACGGGUGAGUAACACGUGGAUAACCUACCUAUAAGACUGGGAUAACUUCGGGAAACCGGAGCUAAUACCGGAUGAUAUUUUGAACCGCAUGGUUCAAAAGUGAAAGACGGUCUUGCUGUCACUUAUAGAUGGAUCCGCGCUGCAUUAGCUAGUUGGUAAGGUAACGGCUUACCAAGGCAACGAUGCAUAGCCGACCUGAGAGAGUGAUCGGCCACACUGGAACUGAGACACGGUCCAGACUCCUACGAGAGGCAGCAGUAGGGAAUCUUCCGCAAUGGGCGAAAGCCUGACGGAGCAACGCCGCGUGAGUGAUGAAGGUCUUCGGAUCGUAAAACUCUGUUAUUAGGGAAGAACAUAUGUGUAAGUAACUGUGCACAUCUUGACGGUACCUAAUCAGAAAGCCACGGCUAACUACGUG
rnacentral:rRNA from 1 species